rnacentral:rRNA from 1 species
GAUGAACGCUAGCGGCAGGCUUAAUACAUGCAAGUCGAGGGGCAGCAGGACUGUAGCAAUACAGUUGCUGGCGACCGGCAAACGGGUGCGGAACACGUACGCAACCUACCCAAAACUGGGGGAUAGCCCGGGGAAACCCGGAUUAAUACCUCGUAACCUUUUUAAGUGGCAUCACUUGAUAAGUAUAGCUCCGGCGGUUUUGGAUGGGCGUGCGCCUGAUUAGGUAGUUGGUGCGGGUAACGGCCCACCAAGCCUGCGAUCAGUAACUGGUGUGAGGGAAAGACCAAUUACACCGGCACCGAGGCACGGACCCGAAUCCUACGCGAGGCAGCAGUAAGGAAGAUUAGGCAAUGGACGCAAAUCUGAACCAGCCAUGCCGCGUGAAGGAGGAAGGUCAUCUGGAUUGUAAACUUCUUUUAUGGGGGACGAAACACGGAUAUUCUUAUCCGAUUGACGGUACCUCAGGAAUAAGCACCGGCUAACUCCGUG